rnacentral:lncRNA from 1 species
UCAGAGAAAGUCUUCCCUUCUUCAAAACCAGCAACCAAUGGCACCGCCACUGCUAACACCACCACCACCGCAAGCAACCCACCAAACGCCACAGCAAACAAAUCCCACCUAUACAACCCUACUUCCCGCCUACCUUACCGUCCACAACCUCACACCCGUCGCCAUCGUAGCCGUAGUGGACGAAACAUCUGCUGUUGUUGCUGUUUCUGGACAAUCCUCACCAUCCUCUUGCUCCUCCUCCUCGCUGCCAUUGCUGGUACUGCUCUUUACAUCCUUUACCGACCUCACCGCCCUACCUUCACCAUCACCUCCCUACGCAUCCACCGUCUUAAUCUCACCACCUCUGCUGACUCCUCCAUUUCCCACCUCUCCACUCUUCUUAACCUCACUAUCAUCUCCGAGAACCCCAAUUCACAUAUCUCACUAGACUAUGAACCCUUCACGGUCU